rnacentral:rRNA from 1 species
GAUGAACGCUGGCGGCGUGCUUAACACAUGCAAGUCGAACGGUGAAGCAGAGCUUGCUCUGUGGUUCAGUGGCGAACGGGUGAGUAACACGUGAGCAACCUGCCCCUGUAUCUGGGAUAAGCGCUGGCAACGGCGUCUAAUACUGGCUAUGAGCUGCGACCGCCUGGUCAGCUGUUGGAAAGAUUUUUCGGUCUGGGAUGGGCUCACGGCCUAUCAGCUUGUUGGGGAAGUAAUGGCUCACCAAGGCGUCGACGGGUAGCCGGCCUGAGAGGGUGACCGGCCACACUGCUACUAAGGCACGGCGCAGACGCCUACGGGAGGCAGAAGGGGGGAAUAUGGCACAGUAGGCGAGAGCCUGAUGCAGCAGUGCCGCGUGAGGGAUGACGGCCUUCGGGUGGUAAACCUCUUUUAGCAGGGAAGAAGCGAUAGUGACGGUACCUGCAGAAAAGGCGACGGCUAACUACGUG